rnacentral:rRNA from 1 species
AAAUUAUACAAUUAAAUAUUUUUAGUUUUAAUUUAUUGAUAAUUAAUAAUUUUGUAUUUAAAUUUAAUAAGUGAAAUUUUAAAUUUUGAAAAGAUUAAUAUUUGUUAAUGAUUUAAUAAAUUUUAAAUAUAAACUAGGAUUAGAUACCCUAUUAUUUAAAAUGUAAUUGUAAAGACUAAAUUAGUAUUUGUUAUAUUCAUGAAAAUUAAAGAUUUUGGCGGUAUUUUAGUCUAUUCAGAGGAACCUGUUCUAUAAUUGAUAGUCCACGAUUAAAUUUACUUUUUUUAUAUAAAUUUAUAUAUCGUCGUAGUUUGAAUAUUUUAUAAGAAUUUAAAUAUUCAAGAUUUAUAAUAAUAAAAUAAAUCAGAUCAAGGUGUAGUUUAUAAAAAAGUAGAGAUGGGUUACUUUAAUAUAAAUUUGAGAUAAUUAUUUUUAUAAUAUUUUGAAUUAGGAUUUGACAGUAAUUUUAAUUAUUUAAUUAAAAUGAUUUUAGCUCUAAAAU